GACGAACGCUGGCGGCGUGCUUAACACAUGCAAGUCGAACGGAAAGGCCCUGCUUUUGUUGGGUGCUCGAGUGGCGAACGGGUGAGUAAAACGUGAGUAACCUGCCCUUGACUUUGGGAUAACUUCAGGAAACUGGGGCUAAUACCGCAUAGGAGCUCCUGCUGCAUGGUGGGGGUUGGAAAGUUUCGGCGGUUGUGGAUGGUCUCGCGGCUUAUCAGCUGGUUGGUGGGGUAGUGGCUUACCAAGGCUUUGACGGGUAGCCGGCCUGAGAGGGUGACCGGCCACAUUGGGACUGAGAGACGGCCCAGACUCCUACGGGAGGCAGCAGUGGGGAAUAUUGCACAAUGGGCGGAAGCCUGAUGCAGCAACGCCGCGUGCGGGAUGACGGCCUUCGGGUUGUAAACCGCUUUCGCCGGUGACGAAGCGUGAGUGACGGUAAUGGGUAAAGAAGCACCGGCUAACUACGUG
rnacentral:rRNA from 1 species